rnacentral:rRNA from 1 species
AUUGAACGCUGGCGGCAUGCCUUACACAUGCAAGUCGAACGGCAGCACGGGAUUCAGGCAACUGAGCCCUGGUGGCGAGUGGCGAACGGGUGAGUAAUGCAUCGGAACGUGCCCAGUAGUGGGGGAUAACUAGUCGAAAGAUUAGCUAAUACCGCAUACGACCUAUGGGUGAAAGCGGGGGAGUUUUCGGGUCAACCGAGAACCUCGCGCUAUCGGAGCGGCCGAUGCUGACUAGCUAGUUGGCGGGGUAAAA